rnacentral:rRNA from 1 species
GGUUAAGCGAACAAGCGUACACGGUGGAUGCCCUGGCAGUCAGAGGCGAUGAAGGACGUGCUAAUCUGCGAAAAGCGCCGGUAAGGUGAUAUGAACCGUUAUAACCGGCGAUGUCCGAAUGGGGAAACCCGGUGCACUUCGGUGCAUCAUCGUUAGCUGAAUACAUAGGCUAACGAGGCGAACCGGGGGAACUGAAACAUCUAAGUACCCCGAGGAAAAGAAAUCAACCGAGAUUCCCCCAGUAGCGGCGAGCGAACGGGGAAGAGCCCAGAGCCUGAAUCAGCUUGUGUGUCAGUGGAACGGUCUGGAAAGGCCGGCGAUACAGGGUGACAGCCCCGUACACGAAGGCACACAGGCUGUGAGCUCGAUGAGUAGGGCGGGACACGUGAUAUCCUGUCUGAAGAUGGGGGGACCAUCCUCCAAGGCUAAAUACUCCUGACUGACCGAUAGUGAACCAGUACCGUGAGGGAAAGGCGAAAAGAACCCCGGCGAGGGGAGUGAAACAGAACCUGAAACCGUGUACGUACAAGCAGUGGGAGCCUUCGUAAGAGGGUGACUGCGUACCUUUUGUAUAAUGGGUCAGCGACUUAUAUUCUGUAGCAAGGUUAACCGUAUAGGGGAGCCGAAGGGAAACCGAGUCUUAACCGGGCGUUAAGUUGCAGGGUAUAGACCCGAAACCCGGUGAUCUAGCCAUGGGCAGGUUGAAGGUUGGGUAACACUAACUGGAGGACCGAACCGACUAAUGUUGAAAAAUUAGCGGAUGACCUGUGGCUGGGGGUGAAAGGCCAAUCAAACCGGGAGAUAGCUGGUUCUCCCCGAAAGCUAUUUAGGUAGCGCCUCGUGAACUCAUCUCCGGGGGUAGAGCACUGUUUCGGCUAGGGGGCCAUCCCGGCUUACCAACCCGAUGCAAACUGCGAAUACCGGAGAAUGUUAUCACGGGAGACACACGGCGGGUGCUAACGUCCGUCGUGAAGAGGGAAACAACCCAGACCGCCAGCUAAGGUCCCAAAGUCAUGGUUAAGUGGGAAACGAUGUGGGAAGGCCCAGACAGCCAGGAUGUUGGCUUAGAAGCAGCCAUCAUUUAAAGAAAGCGUAAUAGCUCACUGGUCGAGUCGGCCUGCGCGGAAGAUGUAACGGGGCUAAACCAUGCACCGAAGCUGCGGCAGCGACACUAUGUGUUGUUGGGUAGGGGAGCGUUCUGUAAGCCUGCGAAGGUGUGCUGUGAGGCAUGCUGGAGGUAUCAGAAGUGCGAAUGCUGACAUAAGUAACGAUAAAGCGGGUGAAAAGCCCGCUCGCCGGAAGACCAAGGGUUCCUGUCCAACGUUAAUCGGGGCAGGGUGAGUCGACCCCUAAGGCGAGGCCGAAAGGCGUAGUCGAUGGGAAACAGGUUAAUAUUCCUGUACUUGGUGUUACUGCGAAGGGGGGACGGAGAAGGCUAUGUCGGCCGGGCGACGGUUGUCCCGGUUUAAGCGUGUAGGCUGACUUUCCAGGCAAAUCCGGAAAAGUCAAGGCUGAGGCGUGAUGACGAGGCACCACGGUGCUGAAGUGACAAAUGCCCUGCUUCCAGGAAAAGCCUCUAAGCAUCAGGUAACAUUAAAUCGUACCCCAAACCGACACAGGUGGUCAGGUAGAGAAUACCAAGGCGCUUGAGAGAACUCGGGUGAAGGAACUAGGCAAAAUGGUGCCGUAACUUCGGGAGAAGGCACGCUGACAUGUAGGUGAAGCCCCUGCGGGUGGAGCUGAAGUCAGUCGAAGAUACCAGCUGGCUGCAACUGUUUAUUAAAAACACAGCACUGUGCAAACACGAAAGUGGACGUAUACGGUGUGACGCCUGCCCGGUGCCGGAAGGUUAAUUGAUGGGGUUAUCGCAAGAGAAGCUCCUGAUCGAAGCCCCGGUAAACGGCGGCCGUAACUAUAACGGUCCUAAGGUAGCGAAAUUCCUUGUCGGGUAAGUUCCGACCUGCACGAAUGGCGUAAUGAUGGCCAGGCUGUCUCCACCCGAGACUCAGUGAAAUUGAACUCGCUGUGAAGAUGCAGUGUACCCGCGGCAAGACGGAAAGACCCCGUGAACCUUUACUACAGCUUGACACUGAACAUUGAGCCUUGAUGUGUAGGAUAGGUGGGAGGCUUUGAAGCGUGGACGCCAGUCUGCGUGGAGCCGACCUUGAAAUACCACCCUUUAAUGUUUGAUGUUCUAACCUGGCGCCGUGAUCCGGCGUGGGGACAGUGUCUGGUGGGUAGUUUGACUGGGGCGGUCUCCUCCCAAAGUGUAACGGAGGAGCACGAAGGUCAGCUAAUCCUGGUCGGACAUCAGGAGGUUAGUGCAAUGGCAUAAGCUGGCUUGACUGCGAGAGUGACGGCUCGAGCAGGUGCGAAAGCAGGUCAUAGUGAUCCGGUGGUUCUGUAUGGAAGGGCCAUCGCUCAACGGAUAAAAGGUACUCCGGGGAUAACAGGCUGAUACCGCCCAAGAGUUCAUAUCGACGGCGGUGUUUGGCACCUCGAUGUCGGCUCAUCACAUCCUGGGGCUGAAGUAGGUCCCAAGGGUAUGGCUGUUCGCCAUUUAAAGUGGUACGCGAGCUGGGUUUAGAACGUCGUGAGACAGUUCGGUCCCUAUCUGCCGUGGGCGCUGGAGAAUUGAGGGGGGCUGCUCCCAGUACGAGAGGACCGGAGUGGACGCAUCACUGGUGUUCGGGUUGUCAUGCCAAUGGCACUGCCCGGUAGCUAAAUGCGGAAGAGAUAAGUGCUGAAAGCAUCUAAGCACGAAACUUGCCCCGAGAUGAGUUCUCCCUGAGACUGUAAGUCUCCUGAAGGAACGUUGAAGACGACGACGUUGAUAGGCCGGGUGUGUAAGCGCAGCGAUGCGUUGAGCUAACCGGUACUAAUGAACCGUGAGGCUUAACCUUAC